UGAACAGAACAGAAUACCCACAGUUUGGUU
rnacentral:piRNA from 1 species